rnacentral:rRNA from 1 species
CCUACGGGGGGCAGCAGUGGGGAAUAUUGGACAAUGGGCGAAAGCCUGAUCCAGCCAUGCCGCGUGUGUGAAGAAGGCCUUCGGGUUGUAAAGCACUUUCAGUGGGGAAGAAAGCCUUGGGGCUAAUACCCUCGAGGAAGGACAUCACCCACAGAAGAAGCACCGGCUAACUCCGUGCCAGCAGCCGCGGUAAUACGGAGGGUGCGAGCGUUAAUCGGAAUUACUGGGCGUAAAGCGCGCGUAGGCGGUCUGAUAAGCCGGUUGUGAAAGCCCCGGGCUCAACCUGGGAACGGCAUCCGGAACUGUCAGGGUAGAGUGCAGGAGAGGAAGGUAGAAUUCCCGGUGUAGCGGUGAAAUGCGUAGAGAUCGGGAGGAAUACCAGUGGCGAAGGCGGCCUUCUGGACUGACACUGACGCUGAGGUGCGAAAGCGUGGGUAGCAAACAGGAUUAGAUACCCGGUAGUC